GCCUGCACCCUGGCUCGGCGGAAUGCUGAGGUGUUUCUCAAGUACAUCCACAGGAACAACGUCAGCAUGCCCAGUGUUGCCAGCCAUACUCGGGGACCCGAGCAACAAGUGAAAGCCAUCCUGAGUGAGCUCCGCAGAGGGAGAAUCGCGUGCUGCAUUUCUGGACCUUGAAGAAGCGGCGGUUAGACCAGUGCCAGCAAUAUGUGGUGUUCGAGCGCAGCGCUAAGCAGGCGCUUGACUGGAUCCAAGAAACAGGUGAAUUUUACCUCUCAACACAUACCUCCACUGGAGAGACCACAGAGGAGACUCAGGAACUGCUGAAAGAAUAUGGGGAAUUCAGGGUGCCUGCCAAGCAAACAAAGGAGAAGGUGAAGCUUCUGAUUCAGCUGGCCGAUAGCUUUGUGGAAAAAGGCCACAUUCAUGCCACGGAGAUAAGGAAAUGGGUGACAACGGUGGACAAGCACUACAGAGAUUUCUCCCUGAGGAUGGGGAAGUACCGGUACUCACUGGAGAAAGCCCUAGGAGUCAACACAGAGGAUAAUAAGGACCUGGAGCUGGAUAUUAUCCCAGCAAGCCUUUCGGAUCGGGAGGUCAAGCUGCGGGACGCCAACCACGAAGUCAAUGAAGAGAAGCGGAAGUCAGCCCGGAAGAAAGAAUUUAUUAUGGCUGAACUACUCCAGACAGAGAAGGCUUAUGUAAGGGAUUUGCAUGAGUGCUUAGAGACCUACCUGUGGGAAAUGACCAGUGGUGUGGAGGAGAUCCCCCCUGGGAUCCUCAACAAAGAGCAUAUCAUCUUUGGCAACAUCCAAGAGAUCUACGAUUUCCAUAACAACAUCUUCCUCAAAGAGCUGGAGAAGUACGAGCAACUGCCUGAGGAUGUGGGACACUGCUUUGUUACCUGGGCAGACAAAUUUCAGAUGUAUGUCACCUACUGUAAAAACAAGCCUGAUUCCAACCAGCUUAUCCUGGAGCAUGCGGGCACCUUCUUUGAUGAGAUACAGCAGCGGCAUGGUCUGGCCAACUCCAUCUCUUCCUACCUAAUUAAGCCUGUCCAAAGGAUCACCAAAUAUCAACUGCUCCUGAAGGAACUUUUAACUUGCUGUGAAGAAGGGAAAGGAGAGCUCAAGGAUGGCCUGGAGGUGAUGCUCAGUGUCCCAAAGAAAGCCAAUGAUGCCAUGCAUGUCAGCAUGCUGGAAGGUAGCUGUCCUCCCAGCACUGGGGAAGCCUCCUCUCUUCCUUGACACGGGGGAGCUUGCAUCAUGGGAGGGAAGUGGCAUGAAGUUAGACAAGGUGCAAGGCUGGAGGAGAGAAGAAAUGACAAGUAGUUACAUAGGCCCUUGCCAUGUGAGAGGGGCUCCACAAGGACCAACUUGGCUAGCACCCUGCUUCUAGGAAGGACCAAGGCCUAAGCCACUGGAGGUUAUUGGACAUGUUGCUGCCCAUGAGAUAGUCCAGGACAGGCCAUCAUCCUCACUCUUGGUGUGCUAGAGCCUCCGACCUACAGCAGUCUUGUUAGUCUGCAUAGCAUCUGCAUUACAUUGCCUUAGUAAUCACAAUGAAUAGAAAUCCUGAUCACAUAAACACACACAGACACACAUACACACAAAACAUACCGUCUUCAGCCUUAUGCUCUUUUUUUGUUAUUAUGGUAAAAUAUACAUAAUAUGUAUAACAUAAAUUUACCAUUUUAACCAUUUUUGAAUGUACAGUUCGGUGGCGUUAAAUACAUUCACAUUCUUAUGCAACC
rnacentral:sRNA from 1 species